rnacentral:tRNA from 1 species
GGGCUUGUGGUCAAGUGGUAUGACGUGUCCUUGACGUGGACAAGAUCCGCAGUUCAAUUCUGCGCAGGCCCA